rnacentral:rRNA from 1 species
ACGAACGCUGGCGGCGUGCUUAACACAUGCAAGUCGUACGGUAAGGCCCUUUCGGGGGUACACGCGUGGCGAACGGGUGAGUAACACGUGAGUAACCUGCCCACAACUUUGGGAUAACGCUAGGAAACUGGUGCUAAUACUGGAUAUGUGCUCCUGCUGCAUGGUGGGGGUUGGAAAGCUCCGGCGGUUGUGGAUGGACUCGCGGCCUCUCAGCUUGUUGGUGGGGUAGUGGCCUACCAAGGCGGCGACGGGUAGCCGGCCUGAGAGGGUGACCGGCCACAUUGGGACUGAGAUACGGCCCAGACUCCUACGGGAGGCAGCAGUGGGGAAUAUUGCACAAUGGGCGCAAGCCUGAUGCAGCAACGCCGCGUGCGGGAUGACGGCCUUCGGGUUGUAAACCGCUUUCAGCAGGGACGAAGCUUUUUGUGACGGUACCUGCAGAAGAAGCACCGGCUAACUACGUG